GACGAACGCUAGUGGCGUGCUUAACACAUGCAAGUCGAACGGUAAGGCCCUUCGGGGUACACGAGUGGCGAACGGGUGAGUAACACGUGGGUGAUCUGCCCUGCACUUCGGGAUAAGCAUGGGAAACUAGGUCUAAUACCGGCUAGGACGCUGGGAUGCAUGUCCUGGGGUGGAAAGCGUUUGCGGUGUGGGAUGGGCCCGCGGCCUAUCAGCUUGUGGGUGGGGUGAUGGCCUACCAAGGCGACGACGGGUAGCCGGCCUGAGAGGGUGACCGGCCACACUGGGACUGAGAUACGGCCCAGACACCUACGGGAGGCAGCAGUGGGGAAUAUUGCACAAUGGGCGCAAGCCUGAUGCAGCGACGCCGUGUGAGGGAUGACGGCCUUCGGGUUGUAAACCUCUUUCAGCACCGACGAAGCGCAAGUGACGGUAGGUGCAGAAGAAGGACCGGCCAACUACGUGCCAGCCGCCGCGGUAA
rnacentral:rRNA from 1 species